rnacentral:rRNA from 1 species
GUACCUACGGGGCGCAGCAGUAGGGAAUCUUCGGCAAUGGGCGAAAGCCUGACCGAGCAACGCCGCGUGAAUGAAGAAGGCCUUCGGGUUGUAAAAUUCUGUUAUAAGGGAAGAAAGGUGAUAGGAGGAAAUGACUAUCAAUUGACGGUACCUUAUGAGAAAGCCACGGCUAACUACGUGCCAGCAACCGCGGUAAUACGUAGGUGGCAAGCGUUAUCCGGAAUUAUUGGGCGUAAAGAGCGCGCAGGUGGUUAAUUAAGUCUGAUGUGAAAGCCCACGGCUUAACCGGAGAAUUGCAUCAGAAA